ensembl:lncRNA
CUUGCUUUGAUAAAUGUAUGAACAGAGUAUCCAGGAUGUUCUGGUCUACAAUGCUGAGACUGUGGCAACAGCCUAACUCACCACUUGGAGAGGAAUGAUGGUUUAAGAAUAUUGUUUGUAUUUCUCCAUUUCUUGGAAAGUCCAUAAUGAGACCUGGAAUACAGAAGCACAGCAUGUGAAUAAAGUAAAUCAGAUAGGAAAACUCCCACUUACCUCUCUUGUAAAAUGGAUUAUCAAAAGAGUGUGAAAACUUUCUUAGAAAACUUACAGAUUAAAAAAUUUGUAGAAUGGAGUGAAUACUGACCCAUAGUCCUGCUUUUAACCUUGAACAGAAAAUAAAGAAACCGUCAGCUUGGGAAAGCUUACAGAAAGAAAUGUUUCUUCUAAAAUAUUUCUAAACAGUCUGGACUUUGUAACCUUGUCUUGAUGAGAGUCUAUUCUUCCUCCAACAGAGAUCAGUUCUAUCGUGGCAAAGUAGUCCCUGGGUACUCGCUGAUCAUUAGUAGUAGUAAAGUCAGUGCAAAUGGAUACUCUUCAGGUGAACGAAAGAAUAAGAAAAUAAUACAUUUUAAUUCUAUGUCUGAAAGUUAUGUGUACAUGUAGAAGCCGUACGGAGAACAUCAGCGGUGGACACAUGCCAGGAAGAGCAUAGACUGAUUAUAAAGAAUUCAACACACACAUGCUUGCCAGUCUGUGUGGGUUCUCAGGUGUUUAAAAACUUAAUUUUCAUUCAAGGUGGUGGUGCUGCUGUUGGGAUUUGAGUUUAGUGAUUCAGCUUUUUAAAGCACAGCCCAUCUUUCACAUACUUCUUUCCUAGGAAGCUGCAAAAGGGAAACAGAGCAGUGGGGAGAAAGCUGUAAGAGAACAGGACCUAUGAUCUCCUUCACACUAUAUGAAACAUUGCCCUCAACAUUGCUUAUAAAAGGUUCCUGAGAAGCUUGAAGGAAUGCAACAAAUGUCUGGCAAAAUAUGCAGAGAUAUCUGCAAGAUUCAGGCCAAGCACUGAACCAUUCCUUCUUGCAGCAUUGCUGCCCUUUCUGUUAGUUUACUUGAUAUAGCCAUUAUUCUCUGGAGGGUCAAAGCAAUGUAAAGGCCAUUUAGUCUGCCUAUAAUGUAUGGGAAGCCCUGAGUAGGAAAUCUGCCACAUAGGUUUGUACAGCACCUCUCCCUCAGUUCCAGAAACUGUACAGCACAGUGUUACAGACCUGUGAAGUAUGCUUGAUCCUGUCUACCCCUCAUCCGCCACCAAUACGAGCGCUGCAGAUCCAUCCAAUUUGGAAACAUGAGUUCAAAAGCCUUUCCACUCUUUGUAUGCUGACUUCUAUGCAGCUGCUAAGCUUGUGCUUGAUAUGUUUAUGUUAAGGGUUUGGUGCAAGCAGGGCUUAUUUUGUAUAGCUGUCUGAAAACGUCCCACCCACCCCUUUUUAAAAAUGGGCAAAUGACC